GACGAACGCUGGCGGCGUGCUUAACACAUGCAAGUCGAGCGGUAAGGCCCUUUCGGGGGUACGACGAGCGGCGAACGGGUGAGUAACACGUGGGUGACCUGCCCUCAGCUCUGGGAGUAAGCCUGGGAAACCGGGUCUAAUACUGGAUAUGACUCCAUGACGCAUGUUGUGGGGUGGAAAGCCUUGUGCGGCUGAGGAUGGGCCCGCGGCCUAUCAGCUUGUUGGUGGGGUGANGGCCUACCAAGGCGACGACGGGUAGCCGGCCUGAGAGGGCGACCGGCCACACUGGGACUGAGACACGGCCCAGACUCCUACGGGAGGCAGCAGUGGGGAAUCUUGCGCAAUGGGCGAAAGCCUGACGCAGCGACGCCGCGUGAGGGA
rnacentral:rRNA from 1 species